AUGGUGCCGAAGAAGACGCCGAAGGGCAAGUCGGGCUUCUUCGGCGUGAGGCAGAAGCCCUCCGGUAACUUCGGAGUGGAGUUCUCCGACGUCGGAAGGCGUUGGUGGAUCGGCACGUACCCCUCCGCCCACGAGGCCGUGCGUGCCUACGACGUGGUGGUGUGGCGUGCCGAGAGGCCUCGAGAGCACCUCAACUUCCCAGAGAUCGAGAGUCGGGCGGAAGCGGAGAUGCUUGUGCCGCAGGGCAUCAAGAUGAAGGAGAUCCCGACGAAGAAGAAGAAGAAGAAGAAGAAGCCGUCAGUUGUCGUCAGUGCCGGUGAGACCUACGAGGAGGCGAUGGCGAGGUUUGCUCGGGAGCAUCCGGAGUACGUCUAG
rnacentral:rRNA from 1 species